rnacentral:rRNA from 1 species
UACCCUACGGGAGGCAGCAGUGGGGAAUAUUGCACAAUGGGGGAAACCCUGAUGCAGCGACGCCGCGUGAGCGAUGAAGUAUUUCGGUAUGUAAAGCUCUAUCAGCAGGGAAGAAAAUGACGGUACCUGACUAAGAAGCCCCGGCUAACUACGUGCCAGCAGCCGCGGUAAUACGUAGGGGGCAAGCGUUAUCCGGAUUUACUGGGUGUAAAGGGAGCGUAGACGGCGAUGCAAGCCAGAUGUGAAAGCCCGGGGCUCAACCCCGGGACUGCAUUUGGAACUGUAGAGCUAGAGUGUCGGAGAGG